rnacentral:rRNA from 1 species
GACGAACGCUGGCGGCGUGCCUAAUACAUGCAAGUUGAGCGCUGAAGGUUGGUACUUGUUCCAACUGGAUGAGCAGCGAACGGGUGAGUAACGCGUGGGGAAUCUGCCUUUGAGCGGGGGACAACAUUUGGAAACGAAUGCUAAUACCGCAUAAAACUUUAAACACAAGUUUUAAGUUUGAAAGAUGCAAUUGCAUCACUCAAAGAUGAUCCCGCGUUGUAUUAGCUAGUUGGUGAGGUAAAGGCUCACCAAGGCGAUGAUACAUAGCCGACCUGAGAGGGUGAUCGGCCACAUUGGGACUGAGACACGGCCCAAACUCCUACGGGAGGCAGCAGUAGGGAAUCUUCGGCAAUGGACGAAAGUCUGACCGAGCAACGCCGCGUGAGUGAAGAAGGUUUUCGGAUCGUGAAACUCUGUUGGUAGAGAAGAACGUUGGUGAGAGUGGAAAGCUCAUCAAGUGACGGUAACUACCCAGAAAGGGACGGCUAACUACGUG